UACGUAGGGUGCGAGCGUUAAUCGGAAUUACUGGGCGUAAAGCGUGCGCAGGCGGUUUUGUAAGCCAGAUGUGAAAUCCCCGGGCUUAACCUGGGAAUGGCAUUUGGGACUGCAAGGCUUGAGUGCGGCAGAGGAGACUGGAAUUCCUGGUGUAGCAGUGAAAUGCGUAGAUAUCAGGAGGAACACCGAUGGCGAAGGCAGGUCUCUGGGCUGACACUGACGCCCAUGCACGAAAGCGUGGGGAGCAAACAGG
rnacentral:rRNA from 1 species